rnacentral:misc_RNA from 1 species
UUUCCUUUCUUGAGUGUGGCAA